rnacentral:rRNA from 1 species
CCUACGGGGGGCUGCAGUGAGGAAUAUUGGUCAAUGGGCGCAAGCCUGAACCAGCCAUCCCGCGUGCAGGAAGACGGCGCUAUGCGUUGUAAACUGCUUUUCCAGGGAGAGAAACUUGCGCACGUGUUGCGCAAUUGACGGUACCCUGGGAAUAAGCAUCGGCUAACUCCGUGCCAGCAGCCGCGGUAAUACGGAGGAUGCGAGCGUUAUCCGGAUUCAUUGGGUUUAAAGGGUGCGUAGGCGGACUAUUAAGUCAGUGGUGAAAUCCUGCAGCUUAACUGCAGAACUGCCAUUGAUACUGAUAGCCUUGAGUUUGGUUAAGGUAGGCGGAAUGUGUAAUGUAGCGGUGAAAUGCUUAGAUAUUACACAGAACACCAAUUGCGUAGGCAGCUUACUGAGCCGACACUGACGCUGAGGCACGAAAGCGUGGGGAUCGAACAGGAUUAGAUACCCCAGUAGUC